rnacentral:sRNA from 1 species
CACCGCCUGGGGAGUACGACCGCAAGGUUAAAACUCAAAUGAAUUGACGGGGACCCGCACAAGUAGUGGAGCAUGUGGUUUAAUUCGAAGAUACGCGCAGAACCUUACCAACACUUGACAUGUUCGUCGCGACUUUAAGAGAUUAAAGUUUUCGGUUCGGCCGGACGAAACACAGGUGCUGCAUGGCUGUCGUCAGCUCGUGUCGUGAGAUGUUGGGUUAAGUCCCGCAACGAGCGCAACCCUCACUUUUAGUUGCCAUCAUUUAGUUGGGCACUCUGAAAGAACUGCCAGUGAUAAGCUGGAGGAAGGUGGGGAUGACGUCAAGUCCUCAUGGCCCUUACGUGUUGGGCUACACACGUGCUACAAUGGUAUUUACAACAGGAAGCAAAACGGCGACGUUAAGCAAAUCCUUAAAAAAUACCUCAGUUCGGAUUGCACUCUGCAACUCGAGUGCAUGAAGCUGGAAUUACUAGUAAUCGUGGAUCAGCGUGCCACGGUGAAUGCGUUCCCGGGUCUUGUACACACCGCCCGUCACACCAUGGGAGUUGGUUCUACCUUAAGGCAAGGUUUAAAACCCUUGACCACGGUAUAGUCAGCGACUGGGGUGAAGUCGUAACAAGGUAGCCGUAGGGGAACCUGCGGCUGGAUUACCUCCUUUCUAAGGAUGAGUAAAAGUAAAAUUUUGCUCUAAAUAAUACACAGGCUAAUGUUGACCGUCCUCAUUUCUCUUCUUGAAUUAGUGUUUCUCUUGCAUGGGGGCCGGCAGCUCAGUUGGUUAGAGCACACCCUUGAUAAGGGUGGGGUCGAAAGUUCGAGUCUUUCUCGGCCCACCAACUAAAGAUUGAGGGGGAUUAGCUCAGCUGGGAGAGCGCCUGAUUUGCAUUCAGGAGGUCAGCGGUUCGAUCCCGCUAUCCUCCACCAAACACUUAGUUAUAAAAAUCGUAAAUUAUGAAAUAAUAAUUAAUAUCAAUAUCUAUAUCCGAACAUUAGUGAUGUUAUUAGCUAAUGUUCAAAAUAAAAAUUUGAUUCAACACAGAAUUUUUUUCUG